rnacentral:rRNA from 1 species
AUUGAACGCUGGCGGCAGGCCUAACACAUGCAAGUCGAACGAGUGGCGGACGGGUGCGUAAUGUCUGGGAAACUGCCCGAUGGAGGGGGAUAACUACUGGAAACGGUAGCUAAUACCGCAUACCCUCAGAUGUGCCCAGAUGUGAUUAGCUUGGUGGUGGGGUAACGGCUCACCAAGGAGACGAUCCCUAGCUGGUCUGAGAGGGUGAACAGCCACACUGGAACUUAGACACUGUCCAGACUCCUACGGGAGGCAUCAUUGGGGAAUAUUGCACAAUGGGCGCAAGCCUGAUGCAGCCAUGCCGCGUGUAUGAAGAAGGCCUUCGGGUGGUAAAGUACUUUCAGCGGGUAGGCGUUACCCGCAGAAGAAGCACCGGCUAACUCCGUGCCAGCAGCCGCGGUAAUAC